rnacentral:rRNA from 1 species
UAGGGAAUCUUCCGCAAUGGACGCAAGUCUGACGGAGCAACGCCGCGUGAGUGAAGAAGGAUUUCGGUUCGUAAAGCUCUGUUGUUAAGGAAGAACGAGUGUGAGAAUGGAAAGUUCAUACUGUGACGGUACUUAACCAGAAAGGGACGGCUAACUACGUGCCAGCAGCCGCGGUAAUACGUAGGUCCCGAGCGUUGUCCGGAUUUAUUGGGCGUAAAGCGAGCGCAGGCGGUUAGAUAAGUCUGAAGUUAAAGGCAGUGGCUCAACCAUUGUAGGCUUUGGAAACUGUUUAACUUGGGUGCAGAAGGGGAGAGUGGAAUUCCAUGUGUAGCGGUGAAAUGCGUAGAUAUAUGGAGGAACACCAGUGGCGAAGGCGACUCUCUGGUCUGUAACUGACGCUGAGGUUCGAAAGCGUGGGUAGCAAACAGG